GUGGGGAAUAUUGGGCAAUGGGGGAAACCCUGACCCAGCGACGCCGCGUGAGGGAAGAAGGCCUUAGGGUCGUAAACCUCUGUUGUGUGGGAAGAAGAGCGUGACGGUACCACACGAGGAAGUCCCGGCUAACUACGUGCCAGCAGCCGCGGUAAUACGUAGGGGACGAGCGUUGUCCGGAUUUACUGGGCGUAAAGGGCGCGUAGGCGGUCAUUUAAGUCAGCUGUGAAAUGGUGCGGCUUAACCGCAUCAUGCGGUUGAAACUGGAUGACUGGAGUGCUGGAGAGGCAAGUGGAAUUCCCAGUGUAGCGGUGAAAUGCGUAGAUAUUGGGAAGAACACCGGUGGCGAAGGCGACUUGCUGGCCAGCAACUGACGCUGAGGCGCGAAAGCCAGGGGAGCAAACGGGAUUAGAUACCCCAGUAGUCC
rnacentral:rRNA from 1 species